rnacentral:rRNA from 1 species
UACGGAGGGUGCAAGCAUUAAUCGGAAUUAUUGGGCGUAAAGGGCGCGUAGGCGGAUAGGUAAGUUAGAUGUGAAAUUCCGGGGCUCAACCUCGGAGCUGCAUUUAAAACUACCGAUCUAGAGGAAUGGCGGAGAAAAUGGAAUUCCACGUGUAGCGGUGAAAUGCGUAGAUAUGUGGAGGAACACCAGUGGCGAAGGCGGUUUUCUAGCUUUUUCCUGACGCUGAGGCGCGAGAGCAAGGGGAGCAAACAGG